rnacentral:rRNA from 1 species
CCCUUAGAUGUUCUGGGCUGCACACGUGCUACACUGACAUGUUCAACAAGCCUCCUAGUUCGACAGGAUUUGGGAAAUCUUUGAACGCAUGUCGUGAUAGGGAUAGAUCAUUGCAAUUAUUGAUCUUGAACGAGGAAUUCCUAGUAAACGCGAGUCAUCAGCUCGCAUUGAUUACGUCCCUGCCCUUUGUACACACCGCCCGUCGCACCUACCGAUUGAAUGUUUCGGUGAAGAUUCCGGAUAGGACUUUUUUGAUUUAUUUCAAUUUUGUCUUAAAAGCUAUCUAAACCUCAACAUUUAGAGGAAGGUGAAGUCGUAACA